ensembl:snRNA RNU6-492P RNA, U6 small nuclear 492, pseudogene
AUGCUCACCUCGGCAGCACAUAUCCUAAAAUUGGAAAAAUACAGAGAUUAGCAUGGCCCCUGCGCAAGGAUGACAUGCAAAUUCGUGAAGUGUUCCAUAUUUUU